UGUUAUGGAUAAGCAAAGAAAGUGGUUUUUUGAGAUGGAAUCUACUCCUGGGAAGAUGCUGUGAA
rnacentral:pre_miRNA from 1 species